UCAAAGACAGGGGAAGUGCGGUGCAAUUCCGCCGCUGUCGCGCAACGGUUAUAGCCCGAAUGCCUGCUUUGA
rnacentral:ncRNA from 2 species